rnacentral:lncRNA from 1 species
GAGAACGAGUUUGAUGAGGAAGAGCUGGAGCAGGACAACAAUAGGAUGGAGGAUGGAGACAGUAGUCGUGAGGGCCGUGGAAAACGUAAGCAGAAGAAGCCCUGGUCCCUGGGCCUUUAUGGGCUUUUCCAGCUGUCAGACGGCUACUUCUGUGACUCAGGUUAUCGCUGGUCCAGGAAUAAGUGUGGAACAGCCUGCAGUGCCUUCACCGACGACAACAUACUGGAUGACAUUGCUUGCUUGGUGAAGACUGAUUACUGGAAGUUCAUCUUGAAGGAGGCUUCUCUCGUGUGUCUCCGCACACGGAACUUCUUCAGUGAAUGUAAAUGAGCAGCUGCCAGAAGACAUUUUCAGGAUUUCCUCUACCUCCACUGUGACUGUUGCUACCUUCAUCAGUCAUUAUGUCUUGACGACGAAAAUCUUUUUAUGUUACAUGAUCUUUCUAUGAUUAGUGUCAGAACAUGUUUUCACAGCACUGACUAACCAAAGCUUGAUUUUUUCCACCCACCAUCCCUGCCUUUACAUUUAGUUGUUCCCUCAUAUCCAGUACAGGAAACUUAGGGAACCUUCAGGUCAACAUGCUAAUGUUUAACACGUUCCCUAUCUUACUUUAGCACAUUAGCAGUAACACUUCAUUAAAACAGGUGGAUGUUCAGUAAUAGAGAUAAAGUUUCAAACAUCAGCAUGUUAAACUGGAAAUUAGCAGUUAAAGUACUGGACUAAUUGAAAUUCUGACCUGAUUAUGGUGCCAGAUAAAACAUGAAGGCACUGACAGGUGCCAAGAGGUUUCAUGGCAGUCCAUCCAAUUUGCUGUUCAGACAUUGAAAAAUGUCAAAUGGUGUUUCAUAUCAAGGCAGGGAAGAGUUUAGUUAUUGCAUCAAUGGAAACCAUUGGUGUCACAUGUACACCGAGCUCUGCAGACCAGCAGAUGCUGAGAUAGAUAAGAUUAGAUAAGUGAAAAGGUGAAACCAGCUACUGACUGGAAGCUUUAAUGUUUUGGGGACCAUGAAUGUCUCUGAAUUUCCCCCAUGGGGGGUGAAUAAAGUGUCUAUGAAUAAAGUGUCUAUGAAUAAAGUGUCUAUGAAUAAAGUAUCUAUGAAUAAAGUGUCUAUGAAUAAAGUGUCUAUGAAUAAAGUGUCUAUGAAUAAAGUGUCUAUGAAUAAAGUAUCUAUGAAUAAAGUGUCUAUGAAUAAAGUGUCUAUGAAUAAAGUGUCUAUGAAUAAAGUGUCU